UAGAUUAAGGGAAUUCAUUUAAUGAAAACACAUUGGUAUAAUUAAAUUACAGUAACAAAACAGUAUUCAAGUGACAAGUGACAUCUAUGUAUACAGGACAGCAGCCUCUAAGUUGCAGGGUUGAGUAACUUGGUGGUAGCUGGCUAGUGAUGGCUAUUUAACAGUCUGAUGGCCUUGAGAUAGAAGCUGUUUUUCAGUCUCUCGUUCCCAGCUUUGAUGCACCUGCACUGACCUCGCCUUCUGGAUGAUAGCGGGGUGAACAGGCAGUGGCUCGGGUGGUUGAUGUCCUUGAUGAUCUUUUUGGCCUUCCUGUGACAUCGGGUGCUGUAGGUGUCCUGGAGGGCAGGCAGUGUGCCCCUGGUGAUGCGUCGAGCAGAUCGCACCACCCUCUGGAGAGCCUUGCGGUUGCUGGCGGUUCAGUUGGUAUACAUCUGUGUGUGUGAUUGCGUGUGUGACUGUGUGUGUGCGUCCAUAAGAAAAGGAGACCCAGUACCCAGUGAUAACCAGUUUAUUCUUAGCUCCAUGUUACUGUAGGCUAUGUACAUAAUUGACAGAGCAGAGUGAGGCACAUUGUCUGAACACUUCUACACAAUAUACUAGAUGUAUAGCACUGGUGAUGCUAACACAAGGCUAAAGCAUACAACAUGUGAUGCUAGUUCUGGGCUAAAGUAUAGCAUAUGUGAUGCUAGUUAUAUGCUAAAGUAUUGCCCAUGUUAGCACAAUACCUAAGUAUAGCACUGGUGAUGCUAAAGCUAGGCUAAAGUAAGCUAAAGCAAAGCCAAGGUGAUGUUAACAAUCUGGUAAAGUAUAGCACUAGCAACGCUAGGUUAAAGUAUAGCACAUGUGAUGCUAAAGUAGCAUAGCACAUGCAAUGCUAGGUUAAAUGCUAGGCUAACACUAGGCUAAAUUAAUGUGAAGCACCUUUGAUCGUGGCGAGAACACCAGCUGAUUGCAUACGAGUGAGUGAGGAACUAACACAACACACCAUACAGAAAGAGACAGAGAGCCGUGUCAUGUUGCUGGUGACAGUAUUGAACCAGUGUGUGUAUUAGUGUGACAGCAGAAGAUAGUUAUAAUAUAACCUAAACCUAGUUUCUAUAUGGGCCAGUUUCCCAGGCAAAGAUUAAGCCUAGUCCUGGACUAAAUGCUGCUUUCAAUAGAGAAUCUCCAUUGAACUUUAUUUUUAGUCCAGGACUAGGUUUAUCCUGUAGUGUCGGUCCGGAUGAGCUACGGUCGGUCCGGAUGAGUUGGGGUCGGUCCGGAUGAGUUGGGGUCGGUCCGGAUGAGUUGGGGUCGGUCCGGAUGAGUUGGGGUCGGUCCGGAUGAGUUGGGGUCGGUCCAGAUGAGUUGGGGUCGGUCCGGAUGAGCUGGGGUCGGUCCGGGAGCUGGGGUCGGUCCGGAUGAGCUGGGGUCGGUCCGGAUGAGCUGGGGUCGGUCCGGAUGAGCUGGGGUCGGUCCGGAUGAGGUAGGGUCGGUCCGGAUGAGGUAGGGUCGGUCCGGAUGAGCUGGGGUCGGUCCGGAUGAGUUAGGAUUGGUCCGAUGAGUUAGGAUUGGUCCGGAUGAGUUAGGAUUGGUCCGGAUGAGUUAGGAUUGGUCUGAAUGAG
ensembl:lncRNA